AAAUUUGAUAUGUUGCUCAUUGAAUGUGUUCUGUUUGAGCUUGAAUUUUCCUGGAAUUUAUUGAGCUAUUUUGAUAUUGGUUUGAUUGUGAUCAUUCUGUUUGCUCCAAUGUGAUUCCAAAAUAUAUAGUUUGACAUGUUUUGUGUAUGAAAUGGAUUUGGUGUAUAGUUUUGACAUGGGACCAAUUAGACUUUGUUCUUAUUUGAUAAAUCUUGGUUUUGAUCAAUUUUUACUUGCUGUUUUG
rnacentral:lncRNA from 1 species